GCAUGUAGUGUACAAGACAUUUUCUUUGUCUAAUGUUACAAUGAGGUUGACAAAUCCAACAAUGCUGGCAGUGUUUCCUUUGUAACAAUAUAAUUUUAAAGGUGUGGCAACUCUACCUUUUUAUCAGUGACUCUGAGGGAUUUUUUUUUUCCCCACCUUUUCUAACCUUACAUUAUUUUUAUAGCUGCAGUUGCUGGCUCUACACAGUAGCUAAGCAUUACUGUCUGGCGUGGAGGCACUGGGAAGAUGGAGAUGCACCCACUUGGUUUGUUUAUUUUUCAAGCUUCCUCAUUAUUGUUGUUUUUGUGGGUUCAAGUACUGUGGGCCUGUCAGGAGAUUAAGAGGCCUUUCCUGGCUGCUGAAGCCAUUCUCCAACAUCUGCCCUGUCCAGAGGGAAGGAAAACUAUGUUAAAGGAAAGGAAAAAAAAGACACCACAAUUGUUAGCUGUUUGCUGGUGUGUUUAGGCAACGAGACCAGAGUGGUCAAGCUGCAGAAAAGUUUGCUCAGUUCUGAUCAAGAAAAACAAAAAAGCUUCUGGCACAUAGGUUUUCAUCUUACCGUAAAUCAAAGUGGUCUCUCAUGAACAAAGCCCUUUUCAUAUUUUACAAACUAUAAAACACUCCAGUGGGUGUUUACUUGUAAAUGACAAAAAGAAUGACAUGCAGAUUUUGCAGUAUGUUGGAAAACACUGGUCAGAAGUUAGUUUAUAUUUAAAAGCAGUUAUUGUAAACUUGAUUGUAUAACAUGCUGAUCUUUAACAGCAAACAGCUGCUUAUUCCUCUCAGACAUUUAUUUUCCCACUUUUCUUCUAAGAAAAUGUUUUGAAUACUGGGUAACAAAAGGAUUUCCACACCAUGUAGAACGUUCAUGCACAUAAAGUCAACAUGUGAACAUUUUCCUGGGACAUCGCCUGAAAGCUCACGUGGUUUUACUACCAGCAUUGUACCCAGGGCUGAGAGAUACAUCUGCCACACAGCGCAGCUGAACAGAGCUUCGUUUUCAUGUCUGUGUUUCAAAAGGCUGCUCUUUAAACCGUUCCAUCUUGUCUGUAGCCUCUGGAAUAUUGUCUACCAUGAAGAAAUGGUGAGAAACAUUUGCUGCCAGACCUGGCUCUCCGAGGAUGAAAAUUGACAGCACAUCCCGACUGUAGGCCGCAGUCACCAGCCAGGGCAUAACAAGGAGGAUGUUGUCACCAUGCUGUCUAUCUGAAAACCAAAGGUCAGGAGAACCUGGAGCUGGCUGGCUGGUGUGAUUGCGGACCAGCAGACUGGGCUCUUCAGAAGAGAAACCCACGGCAGCUCUUCAGCAGCUGUAGCAGCGAGAGCUGGGAACGUUUGAAAAGCAACGUGUUCAGUCCUCGAGGGACGAGGAGCGGGAGGUGCCUCGCAUUGCUCAGCACCGAUGUGAAUGGAUGAGAAGAUGCCACGGCCAGGGGAGGCCCGUCCAGCUGCCAGCCACAGGAAUGGCUGCAGGCAGGGCUCUCAGCCUGCCUCGUGCCAAGCUGGUUUGGGCACCACACCGAGUGAAAAUAAGAAAAUAGAGGCAUCCCUACUGACUUACCCCGAGGGGAGGACAAGGAACAAGUGUGACUCUGCCAUCAACAAGUGGUAGGUCUCCUCUCGCUUGAUGUUAGGCAGGGAGUUAAAUUUAUGCUGGCUGCCACAUGUUCCCUCUCUAGUCAGCAGAGCUGUUUGCUGGAGUGACUGCUCUGUUUGUUUGUUUAGGAUGGGAAGAAUCAUGCUGUGGAAGUGCCUGUUUCUCUCCUUUAAUUAGAGAUGGCGUCUGGAAGGCUCUCUGAGUUACAAACAUCUACACUGGUCAGAUGAGACUCUUCUGAAGCAAGCAGUCAGAAAGGGCAAGCUCAGGGUGUUUGGGUGACUUGGCUGGGGACCUAACCAUAUCUUUCCAGCAGGUAUGAAUCAUGUGGCAGGGGAAAGCUCAUGUAUUUCUGGAAAACAACAUGAUUGGGGUUUUACUUAAAAACAAGUAACAAAACAGUCAUUAAGCGAUGCAUGUUCUCUGGCUGGUAUGCAUCAUCAAUGGUGUCCACCAUGUCAUUGACUCUGACAGUCCCAUACUCUAAAGGAGAUGCAAUAUUAGGGCCAAGGACAGGUGGAAGGACAGGCAUGGGAGCUGCGGCUGUGCAUGAUAGCUGAGGAAGCAGAUGAGUCUCUAUUCACCUAGAGUCGCUAGGUGAAUUUAGUUUCUCUUAGCUCUAAUGUUGGAUCACAGAAAAAUCUGAUAUAGCAUAGGGACACAGUAGGUGCAAACCUCAUCUGUACAGGGUUUUUAGACCUAUUUUUGAUGAGUAAUGUCAUCUCUUGUACUCCUUUCCAGUGAUUUUGAUCACAGUAAAACUUCAGGUCUUCCUGUUUCCAGUAGGAAAACUCCAAGUCUCAUAUUCUCUGUUGUCUGUUGCAAGUAUUAUUAUUAUUUAUUUUUUUUUUGGACCAAGUGAUAGGCAAAUGGUAUCACAUCUAUGCACAAUUCCCACUGAAGUCAAUGAAAGUCUGAAGUAGGGACACAACAUAAGGGCUGCAUACAUUUGCUAGGCUAGACACCACUAAGCAGAUGAGAGGGUUAUCCUGAAAUGUACCUCUUUCGGUUUCAGAUGGGGUAGAGUUAAUUUUAUCUGGCCGUGCCAUUCACAUUUGCAUCACUGUACUUGUGCCAGUAGCUUGUGCAGUCUUGACGUAUGGCUAUCUGAUUCCACCAUGGGUUUAAGAUUAAAAUACCUAUUUUAUCUGCAGUGCCUGAGACUAAGACUGCAUGAAGUGACGUACAAACACAUACUUAAAUAACUGAUGUCUGAAGUCCAUGGCAGUACACCAUAAACAUGGAAAAAGUGUGAAACAGCUUUCUCCUAGCUUAUAUACUCCACAGAAACCACACUAUGGGGAAAAUUUUACACCUGGGUCUCAUCUUGACACAGCUGAGAUACAGAUGGGGUGCCUACCUACACCAAAGUUAAGAAGUGCUCUACAGUCAUGAGUUUAAAUGGAGCAAGAAAAUCCCUUCUCAGAUGAAAGUACACACUAACCCAACCAAAGAAAGUCUUUGUCUCUGCAGACUGGCCUGCUUCAUGCCCUCCUUAACAAGGACCCAGUGCAUCCAUCUUGUUUAUCUGUUUGAUUCUGAGGUCUUCUUGCAUCCAGGGCAUGAUCCUGACUGCUCUGCCUCCUUCUGCAAGGUUCGUUCAGCUAAAACAUUGAUGUUACAAGACCACUGUCAUUAGCACAAGUGCUGUUAUUUGUUGCUACUUGUUAUGGAAAAAAAAAAGUCUGACAGCUAAGCAUAGUUUGAAAGUUUGAAGGACGACUUUGUCUAAGUUUGUGAAUAGAGAGAGCUGUAAAUAUGUUAACAAGGAACAGGAUAAAAAUUGUGAUCCCAAAAGUUAAUUCUAAAAAAGUUUCUUGGUCUUACUUGAUUUUCUAGGUGACCACCAGAUUGAAGAGUAAACAUUGUACCAUUCAGAAAACA